CCUACGGGAGGCUGCAGUAGGGAAUCUUCCACAAUGGGCGAAAGCCUGAUGGAGCAACGCCGCGUGGGUGAAGAAGGUCUUCGGAUCGUAAAACCCUGUUGUUAGAGAAGAAAGUGCGUGAGAGUAACUGUUCACGUUUCGACGGUAUCUAACCAGAAAGCCACGGCUAACUACGUGCCAGCAGCCGCGGUAAUACGUAGGUGGCAAGCGUUAUCCGGAUUUAUUGGGCGUAAAGGGAACGCAGGCGGUCUUUUAAGUCUGAUGUGAAAGCCUUCGGCUUAACCGGAGUAGUGCAUUGGAAACUGGGAGACUGGAGUGAAGAAGAGGAGAGUGGAACUCCAUGUGUAGCGGUGAAAUGCGUAGAUAUAUGGAAGAACACCAGUGGCGAAAGCGGCUCUCUGGUCUGUAACUGACGCUGAGGUUCGAAAGCGUGGGUAGCAAACAGGAUUAGAUACCCUUGUAGUC
rnacentral:rRNA from 1 species